rnacentral:rRNA from 1 species
CCUACGGGAGGCAGCAGUGAGGAAUAUUGGUCAAUGGGCGCGAGCCUGAACCAGCCAAGUAGCGUGAAGGAUGACUGCCCUACGGGUUGUAAACUUCUUUUAUAAAGGAAUAAAGUGAGGCACGUGUGCCUUUUUGUAUGUACUUUAUGAAUACGGAUCGGCUAACUCCGUGCCAGCAGCCGCGGUACUACGGUGGGUCCGAGCGUUAUCCGGAUUUAUUGGGUUUAAAGGGAGCGUAGAUGGGUUGUUAAGUCAGUUGGUAAAGUUUUCGGCUCAACCGUAAAAUUGCAAUUGAUACUGGAAGUCUUGAGUACAGUUGAGGUAGGCGGAAUUCGGGGUGUAGCGGUGAAAUGCUUAGAUAUCACGAAGAACUCCGAUUGCGAAGGCAGCUUACUAAACUGCCACUGACAUUGAUGCUCGAAAGUGUGGGUAUCAAACAGGAUUAGAUACCCUGGUAGUC